AGGUCAUUUCAAAGAGAGCUUGUUAGACUCUUAACCAAGAGCCCUUGAUAUUGUGACCAAAGAUUGAUGUCGUCCACAGGGUGACACAGUCGCUCAGAGUGCUCUUUUUCUGAUGAUGUGGUGAA
rnacentral:snoRNA from 14 species